rnacentral:rRNA from 1 species
AACGAACGCUGGCGGCAUGCCUAACACAUGCAAGUCGAACGAGACCUUCGGGUCUAGUGGCGCACGGGUGCGUAACGCGUGGGAACCUGCCCUUAGGUUCGGAAUAACUCCCCGAAAGGGGUGCUAAAACCGGAUAAUGUCUUCGGACCAAAGAUUUAUCGCCUUUGGAUGGGCCCGCGUUGGAUUAGCUAGUUGGUAGGGUAAAAGCCUACCAAGGCGACGAUCCAUAGCUGGUCUGAGAGGAUGAUCAGCCACACUGGGACUGAGACACGGCCCAGACUCCUACGGGAGGCAGCAGUGGGGAAUAUUGGACAAUGGGCGAAAGCCUGAUCCAGCAAUGCCGCGUGAGUGAUGAAGGCCUUAGGGUUGUAAAGCUCUUUUACCCGGGAUGAUAAUGACAGUGCCGGGAGAAUAAGCUCCGGCUAACUCCGUG